rnacentral:rRNA from 1 species
ACGAACGCUGGCGGCGUGCUUAACACAUGCAAGUCGAACGGAAAGGCCCUGCUUUUGUGGGGUGCUCGAGUGGCGAACGGGUGAGUAACACGUGAGUAACCUGCCCUUGACUCUGGGAUAACUUCGGGAAACUGGGGCUAAUACCGGAUAGGAGCUCCUGCUGCAUGGUGGGGGUUGGAAAGUUUCGGCGGUUGGGGAUGGACUCGCGGCUUAUCAGCUUGUUGGUGGGGUAGUGGCUUACCAAGGCUUUGACGGGUAGCCGGCCUGAGAGGGUGACCGGCCACAUUGGGACUGAGAUACGGCCCAGACUCCUACGGGAGGCAGCAGUGGGGAAUAUUGCACAAUGGGCGGAAGCCUGAUGCAGCAACGCCGCGUGCGGGAUGACGGCCUUCGGGUUGUAAACCGCUUUCGCCUGUGACGAAGCGUGAGUGACGGUAAUGGGUAAAGAAGCACCGGCUAACUACGUG